GACGAACGCUGGCGGCGUGCUUAACACAUGCAAGUCGAACGGUAAGGCCCUUCGGGGUACACGAGUGGCGAACGGGUGAGUAACACGUGGGUGAUCUGCCCUGCACUUCGGGAUAAGCCUGGGAAACUGGGUCUAAUACCGGAUAGGACCCUGGGAUGCAUGUCCUGGGGUGGAAAGCUUUUGCGGUGUGGGAUGGGCCUGCGGGCUAUCAGCUUGUUGGGGGGGUGGUGGGCUACCAAGGCGACGACGGGGAGCCGGCCUGAGAGGGUGACCGGCCACAGUGGGACUGAGAUACGUCCCAGACUCUGACGGGAGGCAGCAGUGGGGAAUAUUGCACAAUGGGCGCAAGCCUGAUGCAGCGACGCCGCGUGAGGGAUGACGGCCUUCGGGUUGUAAACCUCUUUCAGCACCGACGAAGCGCAAGUGACGGUAGGUGCAGAAGAAGGACCGGCCAACUACGUGCCAGCCGCCGCCGUAA
rnacentral:rRNA from 1 species